UACGAAGGGGGCUAGCGUUGCUCGGAAUCACUGGGCGUAAAGGGUGCGUAGGCGGGUCUUUAAGUCAGGGGUGAAAUCCUGGAGCUCAACUCCAGAACUGCCUCCGAUACUGAAUGUCUUCGAGUCCGGGAGAGGUGAGUGGAACUGCGAGUGUAGAGGUGAAAUUCGUAGAUAUUCGCAAGAACACCAGUGGCGAAGGCGGCUCACUGGCCCGGUACUGACGCUGAGGUGCGAAAGCGUGGGGAGCAAACAGG
rnacentral:rRNA from 1 species